rnacentral:lncRNA from 1 species
UGGUCACGUGACAACAAUAUUGGGUUUCUCGUAAUCCCAUACGUGGACUCAGAAUAUUCGAAUCGAAGAAUCGACCGUUUCAUCGCAGAUUUGACUUCUUUUUACACCAUCCCAUUCAUGUAACUAAAUUCUUUCACUUUCGCAAUCUUAAAUGAAAUGUUAAAGAUAAAGAUUCGUUGAACGUGGUCACUUCCUUCUUUCCUAAUUUCAUUGCAUUUCAUCUGUUCAUUAUUUAUUAUUAUUAUUUUUUAAUUGUAAGCAAGCCUCCACAAAGGACUGGGUCCACUCUCAAGACCAAACCAUAUCCAAAUCAAAAUCUCACCGCUGGACGGCCGCCCGGCGCCGCCACUAUCUUCGCCGGAAUCAACAGUUACUUAGUCUACGUAGCAUUGAUUGCAGCACCAAUCGCUUUUCAUUAGAAUUAAAUAAUAUAAAGUUGUUAAAAAUUUAUGCUGACACUAAAAUCAUAGGUAACCUAUAUCGUAGGCUUAUUGAAUUCAAAGAUCUUGAGUGAUCUCUUUCUAAUUCAAUACCAUCAGCCGAACAACUUGUGAAUAAAAAUAAUAUAACUUAUUUUACCAAUUGGUUGCAAAUAACAAUGAAUAAGAAUAAAGUAAAAUAGAAAUCCCAUUAGUUUAUAUUCUUGUAUUAUAUAUAUCAUCAUCACUUAUCUAGUCUCUCCUCGUAAAAA